rnacentral:rRNA from 1 species
AGCUGCUCUCUGCCGACGACCGGCGCACGGGUGCGUAACGCGUAUACAAUCUACCUUGUACUGGGGGAUAGCCUUUGGAAACGAAGAUUAACACCCCAUAGUAUUUUAUAAUCGCAUGAUUAAAGGAUUAAAGAUUACGGUACAAGAUGAGUAUGCGUCCUAUUAGCUAGUUGGUAUGGUAACGGCAUACCAAGGCAACGAUAGGUAGGGGCCCUGAGAGGGGGAUCCCCCACACUGGUACUGAGACACGGACCAGACUCCUACGGGAGGCAGCAGUGAGGAAUAUUGGACAAUGGGCGGAAGCCUGAUCCAGCCAUGCCGCGUGCAGGAAGACUGCCCUAUGGGUUGUAAACUGCUUUUGUACGGGAAGAAACACUCCCUCGUGAGGGAAUUUGACGGUACCGUAAGAAUAAGCAUCGGCUAACUCCGUGCCAGCAGCCGCGGUAAUACGGAGGAUGCAAGCGUUAUCCGGAAUCAUUGGGUUUAAAGGGUCCGUAGGUGGGCCGGUCAGUCAGAGGUGAAAUCCUGCAGCUUAACUGUAGAACUGCCUUUGAUACUGCCAGUCUUGAGUCGUUAUGAAGUGGUUAGAAUAUGUAGUGUAGCGGUGAAAUGCAUAGAUAUUACAUAGAAUACCAAUUGCGAAGGCAGAUCACUAAUAACGUACUGACACUGAUGGACGAAAGCGUGGGGAGCGAACGGGAUUAGAUACCCCGGUAGUCCACGCCGUAAACGAUGGAUACUAGCUGUCCGGCUUCGGCUGGGUGGCUAAGCGAAAGUGAUAAGUAUCCCACCUGGGGAGUACGUUCGCAAGAAUGAAACUCAAAGGAAUUGACGGGGGCCCGCACAAGCGGUGGAGCAUGUGGUUUAAUUCGAUGAUACGCGAGGAACCUUACCAGGGCUUAAAUGUAGAUUGCAUGGGUUUAGAGAUAGACCUUUUCUUCCGGGAACAUCUACAAGUGCUGCAUGGUUGUCGUCAGCUCGUGCGUGAGUGUCAGUUAGUCCUAUACGAGCGCACCCCUGUGUAGUGC